UUCUCUUUUGCUUGGACAAUUUGGCAGUUGGUAGUUAUUAAUAGUACUUUAACUUCAUGGCUGCCCCAUCAUCAAGCUGCUUCAACUGCUGCUACUGCUCUGCUUCCAAACACAACUCUUCAAUUUCAUACACUAACUUUCCCUUGUCUUUUUCUUGUCCAAUCUUCAAUGGCUGCAAUGGAAUUUCACUAAGCAGAACUGGGUUUACCUCAAGAACAUAUGCCAAGUUUGAGAAAAUCCAAGGUGACCCUUCUGAAGCCAAUCUUGAAGAUACUUCAGUUUCUUCUGGGCAAACACAGCAACAAACUCUUCAAGAAAAAGAUGACACGUUUACUGCUUACCAUCUGACUUGGAGGGUACAGUCAGGUAAUCAGGUCAAGCAAGUGCCUUGUUUGUUUCUUCAGGAGGAAUGAGAGCUACCGUUGAGCUCCUAAUACCUCAGCUACAGUUUCCUGAUGGUGAAGGUGUACAAGCUGAGUUUUGGGAACUAUCAAGAAUUUUCUUGGAUACACUUAAAGAAGGAACUCGAUGUCAGAUUAUGGAAGGUGUUUUAUGAUGAUAGAGACAGGCCUGGCGGAUAUCUGCUUGCAAAAGAACUUGUGAGCCGUCCUGUUGCAGAAGAACU